UAAUAAGUCUAUGGCUUACCGCCUGGGACGUGCUAGGCAAGUUUACAUGCAAACCUGAGCAGAGGUUAGACCUGCUUAGGUACUUGGAUGGGAGACAGCCUGGGAAUAGGCUGUCGUCUUAUAAA
rnacentral:rRNA from 1 species